rnacentral:rRNA from 1 species
CAAUAGCGUAUAUUAAAGUUGUUGCGGUUAAAAAGCUCGUAGUUGGAUUUCUGCUGAGAACGACCGGUCCGCCCUCUGGGUGUGUAUCUGGCUCUUUCUUGGCAUCUUCUUGGUGAACGUUGCUGCACUUGACUGUGUGGAGCGCUACCCAGGACUUUUACUUUGAGGAAAUUAGAGUGUUUCAAGCAGGCAUACGCCUUGAAUACAUUAGCAUGGAAUAAUAAGAUAGGACCUCGGUUCUAUUUUGUUGGUUUCUAGAGCUGAGGUAAUGAUUAAUAGGGAUAGUUGGGGGCAUUCGUAUUUAACUGUCAGAGGUGAAAUUCUUGGAUUUGUUAAAGACGGACUACUGCGAAANCANNNGCGAAGGAUGUUUUCAUNGG